GUGGGGGAAAUGACAGCAGGGAAACCUAUCGGAUAGUUUGUUCAUAAUCCUCCUCUCUCAACAGCACUUACUCCCCAUGUUUUCGAUCUGUCAUCCUGCAG
rnacentral:miRNA from 1 species